GCAAAAUUCGCGAAGCUUUGGCUGCGCAGACGAAUCGCGUGAAGCUGAAUUCCGACAUCUUAUGGAUAGAAAGAAUAGAAUUGGUUAAAAAGACUGCAUGUAUGCUGACCUCGUAAAUGAAACAAACUUCCGAAGUUCGCUGGACAUAGGGGAAUUGUCGGCAAAGGAAAAAGGGCAUGGACAAAAGUGACAAACAAUAGUUACUGUGGAUUGUAACUUUAUACGCGACGAUAUUUUCUCGUCCCAUUUGGUGGUAAAUAAAGAGCAUUCAAAGAAUUAUAAUACCGCAUUCGCACAACCCCGGUAGACUGUUGUUAAUUGUUUAAACACGAUCCGGAGAUUUGGAUAUUAUGUGUCGAAGGUGUCCCAUAUUCCCCCGCGGUACUUAAUAUUUCUUUACCCGCUGGCCGCUCGCCAAUGAUGAUGACAGAAUCUUGAAUACCGUAUCCUCUGGCUUAGACGCCAAUGCGUGUUUUAUGUCUUUAUUCACGUAUUUUGGGCUUUAAAACAUCACCAAAGUAUUCAAAGCUACUGCACAAGUAAAUUUGAAAAACAUUAAUAUAAGAUUUCUAUUUAACACCAUAUAUUUCAAUUAGCUCCAUAGAUAUCUUUUAAGUUUAGUUCAAUUAUUUAUUUUGUUACCUGACCGCUUGUUUGCUUCCUUUUCCUUCUAGAUAUAACGUACACGAACAUUACUUACGAUUAGUUCGCGCGACUUUCAAAAGGAUGUU